GAGUUUGAUCCUGGCUCAGGAUGAACGCUGGCGGCGUGCUUAACACAUGCAAGUCGAACGAAGCGGUUACAGGGAUUCCCUUCGGGGAGGAACGGUAAUUGUCUGAGUGGCGGACGGGUGAGUAACGCGUGGGCAACCUGCCCCAUACCGGGGGAUAACAGCCGGAAACGGCUGCUAAUACCGCAUACGCCCAGGAGGCUGCAUAGCUUCCUGGGGAAAACUCCGGUGGUAUGGGAUGGGCCCGCGUCUGAUUAGCUCGUUGGCGGGGUAACGGCCCACCAAGGCGACGAUCAGUAGCCGGCCUGAGAGGGCGGCCGGCCACAUUGGGACUGAGACACGGCCCAGACUCCUGCGGGAGGCAGCAGUGGGGAAUAUUGCACAAUGGGGGAAACCCUGAUGCAACGACGCCGCGUGAGCGAUGAAGUAUCUCGGUAUGUAAAGCUCUAUCAGCAGGGAAGAAAGUGACAGUACCUGACUAAAAAGCCCCGGCUAACUACGUGCCAGCAGCCGCGGUAAUACGUAGGGGGCAAGCGUUAUCCGGAUUCACUGGGCGUAAAGGGAGCGCAGGCGGCACGGCAAGUCUGGUGUGAAAACCCGGGGCUCAACCCCGGGACUGCAUUGGAAACUGCCGGGCUGGAGUGUCGGAGGGGUAAGCGGAAUUCCUAGUGUAGCGGUGAAAUGCGUAGAUAUUAGGAGGAACACCAGUGGCGAAGGCGGCUUACUGGACGAUGACUGACGCUGAGGCUCGAAAGCGUGGGGAGCAAACAGGAUUAGAUACCCUGGUAGUCCACGCCGUAAACGAUGAUUACUAGGUGUCGGGGGGCCAAGGCCCUUCGGUGCCGGCGCAAACGCAUUAAGUAAUCCACCUGGGGAGUACGUUCGCAAGAAUGAAACUCAAAGGAAUUGACGG
rnacentral:rRNA from 1 species